AUUGAACGCUGGCGGCAUGCCUUACACAUGCAAGUCGAACGGCAGCACGGGAGCAAUCCUGGUGGCGAGUGGCGAACGGGUGAGUAAUAUAUCGGAACGUGCCCAGUAAUGGGGGAUAGCCCGGCGAAAGCCGGAUUAAUACAGCAUACGACCUACGGGUGAAAGCGGGGGAUCGAAAGACCUCGCGUUAUUGGAGCGGCCGAUACCAGUUUAGGUGGUUGGUGGGGUAAAGGCCUACCGAGCCUGCGAUCUGUAGUUGGUCUGAGAGGACGACCAGCCACACUGGGACUGAGACACGGACCAGACUCCUACGGGAGGCAGCAGUGGGGAAUUUUGGACAAUGGGGGCAACCCUGAUCCAGCAAUGCCGCGUGCAGGAAGAAGGCCUUCGGGUUGUAAACUGCUUUUGUCAGGGAAGAAAUCCUCUGGGUUAAUACCUCGGGGGGAUGACGGUACCUGAAGAAUAAGCACCGGCUAACUANGUGCCAGCCGCCGCGGUAACAC
rnacentral:rRNA from 1 species